UCUUGCUGCUCACACCAGGCUGUAAUGCUACCUGUGGUCUGUGCUUGGAUUACAGCUAUGUGCUCCAGUCAGAUGGUGAUAACUCUGGUUUUGGAAUGAAAGUUUCUUCAUUUCAUUUAGCUUGAAUUGUGUAGCACAAUCUUCACUGUGUGAAGAUGGAAUGGCUCCUGGAAGUGUGGAUGCAGCAGCCAGACGUGUGGUGCAGCAGGUUGGCAAACAGUUUGUUUCAGGUCAUUAUCUGCUCUUGGAAGUGGUUGUGCCAUUACUGACAGCACCCAAGCUGAAUCUCCAUUGUGAUGAAGUACUCGCACAUUUGCAAAAUCCUCACUGGAGGAGAUACAGCUAUGAAACUGUUCCUCUGAAACAGCCGUGCAUGUUGGGCUGUAGUGAAGCUGCCUGCAUUACUCCAGUUCCAGUGGAACAUCCAACUGAUUGAUUUACGAACACAAAGGAGAAUAAAACGGUGAUAAGAAAUGCAUGGAAUUAGUACAGUCAGGUGCACAAGGGCUUCCUUUACAAUACCUACGUGUCCAGUCUGCAGAGGACCUAAGCACAAGAGUCAUCUUAUUACAGAAGUUAACUAUGAAUUGCAAAAUGUAAGCAGUAUGGUAGAGGUACAGCUGCGGUAGCAUGGCACAGGUUUAGCACAUCAAGCAGGAGCCACAUGGAUCUACCCUAAAAUAUACGGAGCUCCAUAGUAAAACCCCUCUGGACAUGUUUCGUUGGAGAAGCUGUAGCAGAAAUGCCUUGACUUCUGAGAGGAGUUUUGCUGAAGCUCAUCGAAUUGCAACAGAAGGCCAGUAUCUGGUAACUGUCCAAAGCUACAAAUCCAUCAGGGAACAUUCAGGAACUCAGGAUAACAAAAUUUGUCCUCUUACUUAAGACUCUAAAUACCCAAUUUCAAACUUGUUAAAUGUGAUCUAUCUUGUUGGCAAUUCAGAGCUGAGACAUUGAAAAGCAGAUAAUGAUCUAGAUUCCGCUUUCUCUUGAGUAUAAUUAAUAGCCUAGAUUAUGAAAUUCAAGUCAGUUACAACUUUGUAACAACCAAUAACAAGGAUAAUAAAGGUUUAUUCAUCUUGCAGAAACUGUGCAGUAGGAAGUGAUUUUGUUUUUCCAAGUCCAGGACCUUGUUUAUUUGUGAUGCUAGUGUGGCUUUCCAUACUUGGUAGCUGAAAAGCCAUAUCAUAUGAGUUUUUGAAUCAGGAUGAAUGUUGACCUGUGCUUUUGGAUAUAUGUAAGUAUUUGUUAGUGUCAUUGUGUGUUCUGAUAUAAAAAGAGAACAAUGUGUGCAGUGUCAUGAUGAGUAUUAGCUAAACGUAUCCACAUUUCUAAAGGCAGUAGAUUAAUAUGGAAAUUUAAAAAAAAGUGAUAAAAAUAUAUUCCCUAAUUCUGAUUGUAGUACUACUGAAAAGCAUUCGAUUAGCAAGGCCCCUUUCAUUAGGAAAAGAUCUUCAGAUGCUUGUCUUCCUUACAGCCACAUAUUGUAACAUGGGUUCCUUGGUUGUAAAUCAAAGCAGACUCUGUAUUACUGAUCUCAUCUAUUUCUAGCCAUAAGAAGAAAGGUCAAGGAAUGGGCUGAUAUGCAUAUUGAGGUUAACUUCCCAACAAAUGGUUGAGCAUCACUUGCUAAUGGAAAGUAGAGAAUGAUUUUCUUUCUUUGGUUCCAUGUAAGUUUGCUUUUUUUUUUCCCCUCCCUUUAUUGAAUUACUCAUUAUCUCAUGCCAUGAGCUUUUCUCUUCUUCAUUGUUUUCUCCUGCUGGCCACUUAAGGUGUGGACUAAGAGAGCAGCAUGUUGGCUUGAUGCUUAGAUUCCCACUGGUUGUAAAACUAACACCAUAAAGUAAAGCACACAAGAAAAAUAUUGUGCCAUUAAUGCUGGAAUAUGCUUAACACACACAUACUCUAUAAUUUCCUCUAAAAAUUCCAUAUUGAAUAAAAAGCUUGGAGAAAAAAUUCUUCCUUUCAAAACUGAAAAUUUUCUAAGUUGUUUGGUGACUUAAUCACUAUUCAAAGCCUGAACUUACAAAUUCAGUGAAAUCUUCAUGUCAGAGGAAACUUCAGUGAUGAGAAGUCUCUGAACAUGAGAGCUAUUAUGAUGAAGUGUUUGAAGACAGACUUUCUGGUGGUUUUUGAAGUCAUAGGAGACAGAAAUUACUAAUUGCUAGGGAAUUUCCCUUUAAUCAGACUAUUAGCAGAAGUUUUGAUAUUACUAAGGCUAUUGUAAAAGAUGUAAAUGUGCACCCUGGUUGUCCUACAGCACAAUGAGAAACUAUUGCAUUAUUAUAUGUUUGCAAGAAUUCCCUCAAUUUUCCUCCUGACUGGAUUGUCCACAUUGGAUUCUCGUCUUGACUGGUGAUCAAUCAUUUCAAAUUAUCAUUUGCUUCCAUGGUUGUUGAUGUUUAUUUAUGAGAGUUGCAGUAAAGUGGUUGGGUUUAUGUACUACUACUCAUGUGUGGUGCUCCCUAGAAAAUAAAAAGGACUUGGACAGCAAAGUAGAACAGCUGAAACCAUUGGUAAAUAGUUUGAUGUCUUCACCUUUCCUCUAAACGGUUCAGUAGUGUUUCUGAAUUUAACUCAUGGACAUAUGAGCAUGUUUGGCAUGGCUAUUGUUUACAGUCUC